GUUGCUCUGCGGGAGGCCGCUCUUCUGCAGGAUUUCAACGUGCUGUGGACUCUCUCAGCUCUUCCCCUCUCACCUUGCUCACCCAGCCAAGAGCAUCCCCAACGAGUGAAUGCUGGAGAAGGAAGUUCUAACGACAUGUAGACCUUGGUGUAGGCAUGUUCUCUCCAGGCUCUUGCGUUUGUGAUGAUGCCCUUCCUCUGCACGGCACAGCAGUCAAGCACUGACAGACACAGACUGCCUGCUCGUCUCUGCUUCGUUGUAGGGGAAGGUUUGCUGGCCUCCUAGCAGAGGACACGUGUCCCUGGGAAGGAGAGCUUCCC